rnacentral:rRNA from 1 species
AGGUGGAAUUCUCAGAUUUGUUAAAGACUAACUUAUGCGAAGGCAUUUGCCAAGGAUGUUUUCAUUGAUCAAGAACGAAAGU